GUCUUUGUAGUAUAACAAUUACCCUGGUCUUGUAAACCAAAGAUGGAGACCUCAAAUCUCCCUAAGACA
rnacentral:tRNA from 1 species